GAAGACAUGGUUAUCAUGAAAGGUUAUGUGAUGAUGAAUCCCUUGGAAAAGGAUGAAUUUCCAAUCAAAAUGAUUUUGUGUGAUUUAUUUCAGCAGAGAUUUACUAACAUUGGUCCAGACGAUUUUGGAUACUUAAAACGUGAACGUAACAAAUUGUCCCUGCCGAAAACAGGAGAUGGCUUUGUUUGGAAUUUCGAAAAUUUGAAAGUAUUGGCAGGCCAGGGUAAACUUUACUGCUACAUCAAAGAGUCUUACAAAAAGUUGGUUGAUCAACCUUCACCUGUGGAUGUUAAUGAUGAAGAAAUUACAAGAAGUUGUGAUGAUUCUCCAUCAUUUCCAGCUUCAAGUAUAGUGAAUAAGAAACAUAAAAGUUCUACAGUUGUUAGUGAUGAUGAGCUACCAUCAGGCUCAGGUGAACUGGAGAGUUAUAAAAGUUUGCUGAAUGAGGUUUUAGAAGCUUCUCCGAAAAAAAGACUUUAUAAUGACUUGGAGAGCAUUUUGCAUGAUUUAAAGAAAAAGAUAUCAACAUCAGAAGUCGAAAAACUUAAAGUUGAUCCAGAUGAUUGCUUAUCUGAUGCACUCAGUUUCUAUAAAAGUUCGGAUUUCAAUCCAAAUCAUAAAUUACAAGUCCGAUAUGCGAAACAACCGGCUGCAGACACUGGAGGUGUCUUGAGACAAUUUUAUUCUGAUUGCACUCAGCAACUGUUAGAAGGUGCAGAUGGAAUUCCUCCAUUAUUUGAAGGAGAGGAGAAUCGAAAGCUGCCUUGCUUCAAUGCCGGUGUGGUUAUGUCUGGAAUGAUCAAAUUUGUUGGAAGAAUGUUUGCUUAUUCAAUAUGUCAAGUUGGAAUUGGAUUCAGUUGUCUGGCUCCAUCUGUAUACUGGUAUAUUUGUACAGAUCAUGGAUAAGAAUUUUGACGUGAAAACGUUUAAUCAAGACACGGAUUUCGUAAACCUGCUUUCUGAUUGUGGAUCAACACAACUUAUUAGUGAUGAAAACAGACAUGAUAUUUACACUGCAAUUCUCUUUCAAGAGGUAAUUGGAAAACGUACAGCUGCAAUGGAACAAUUGAGAGAAGGCUUGAAAACCCUUGAUGUUAUAGAUUGUUUGUCCAACAAUCCUAUGUUGUGUAU